rnacentral:tRNA from 1 species
UGAGGUGUAGCUCAGUGGUGGAGCACAUGCUUAGCAUGUGUGAGGUCCUGGAUUCAAUCCCCAGGACCUCUG